GUGUAGAUGUCAAUGGAUUGUACAGAGGGCAGAAAUGAACCAAUCGACCUCUAAAGGUCACCCACCAUACAGUUGACAAUGUUGAACUAACUACACUACAUGAUUAACUUCAUAUAAAUCAAUAUACAACUUGUGAAUUAAAAACAAAGACUAUCAAAUACAUAAAAAUAAAUAUAAAAUUUACAUUGGACAAAAACAUGAAAUGACAAGAACAAC
rnacentral:lncRNA from 1 species